UUUAAUGCUUAGUUAAAAUAAAAUUCUAGCAUCUAUCUAAAUACUGGCUAUUACAGCCUCAACACUGCAUUUAAUCAUCACCCUUCACUUUAAUAACACUCUGGAUGUUGUUCUGACAUAUUUACUACAGAAUGAACACUUAAAAACAUUCUCUGAAAACCCCCUUUGUCCGAUCAUUUCUUAAUAUUAUUGAAAUAUACAGUAAAGGAUUUCAUGGCAGUGGGGAAUGCAUUUCAUUACAGUAGAUGUCUUUCUGAAAGUGCUGUAAGUAUGUUUGAGGUAAUAAUUCCUCCACUGUUAUCUUAUUCAAUGCGGAGCAGUUACCUAUACUCACACAGGUAAUGAGGUAGUGUUACUGAGGUAGUGGUUUUACACUACUUACCAUUAUAAGAUAAUGCGUUGAUUAAAUCAGCAAUAAUCCAAGAGAGAGAUACUGGAUUAACUGGGUCUGGGGGCGGAUUGCCCCUCUGGGUGGGAGGGUACCUGGACCUGGGGUAUAGAGUAUGUUUGGGGAGUGUAAGUGUGUGUACAGUGUCCAUUUGUGUCUGUCUUCACGUUGGGUGAGUGCUGAGUAUUUGUAUAUGUUUGCAUGAGGGUGGGAAUGCAUCUUUGUGUCUGUGUGUGCCUGUUUGUCUAUGUGUCAGGACGGGUCUUAGACACCACCUCUCCGUGAACAUCUCCGGCCCCCGGGGGGCCUAUCUCCCCCUACUACACUCCCUGCCGGUGGCUGAUGCCCUCAGCCAUCGGUGCAUUGGUUUUCGGUGUCCUGGGCUGGGAGCUCAGUUAUGUACUGGCUCGCUCCCAGUGGCUGCUUGGUGGGCCCUAGCACCUGUGGCUCCAUCGGGCCCCUUCCGGGGGAUGGGGGGGGCCUCGGACGUCUGGGCCAGGGGCUUGGUCCGCUCUGGCACAGCUGGCUGCCGGCAGAACCUGCAGGCACGUUGCCGCAGCCCGCUGUGGCUUCUGCAUUGUGGCUGCUGGAUGACCUCCCGUCUGGGGCUCUCCUCAGCUCUUUCCAGGAGGGUGGCGCGGCUGUAAAGCUCCACUUUGAAGAUUUCUGUAACCUGAAAGAGAAUACGCACAUGCCUGUCUGUUCUCCACUUCUGUUCCCUUCUUGUGUGUGCGAACUCGCCUGCCCCCACCCAAGCUCACGCCUCCUUUGGUAAAUUCCUGUUAGACCCAGUAAGCUGAAGAACUCAUCAUCGUAGUAUUCGUUUCUCUUUUGUAAAUAAAGUUUUUCUGCAAAU